ACCUGAGAUCUACUUCUGUGGUCCUCUCACC
rnacentral:piRNA from 1 species